rnacentral:lncRNA from 1 species
CACGGAGCGGAGGCACCAGGCUGGAGCUUGAAGGAUGCUGCCAAGAUGCUUUGACCGUAAAAAUGUUUACAACAUGGCUGGAUUCAGCCCAGACAGGAAAGGGAUAAAAAGAGAAAACAAAAGAAGUGUCACCCUGUGGCUGCAGCUGCACACAGACAGAUCGCCCCUGGGAAAUUGCUGGUCCUGAGCAAACAGCCUUGAGAAGCAGGCAAGGGAGGGAGGUUAAGAGGACUGGACCACAGACACCUUGAACUCAGAAGAUCCAAAACCACCCAGUAUUCCAUUUCCUGGUAAACUGCACCCCCAUCUAGUAAGCUACCUGACUUAGAAAGCAUGCCAUGUGGACGUGACGCCUGGAGAUAUCGCACCCACCUUAUAAUCAGGAGGAAGAAUGCCACGUGUGGAGGAUGGUGCCACAGGAAUCUGGAAGAGCUCGAUCCUGGACGACUUGCUCAAGCAGCUGCACAUUCCUCCUGCCACCUACUUCUGGAUAUUGUGUUAGGUGGGUGUCUUCAUUUCCUACUGCUGCUGUAACAAAUGACCACAAACUUAGUGGCUUAAAACAACAUAUAUUUAUCUCUUCCAGUUCUAGAGGUCAGAAGUGCAAAAUCAGUUUCUUGGGGUUAAACCUAGGUGUUGGCAGAGCUUGUUCCUUCUGUUUCCUCUGAGGGAAGAAUCCUUUUCCUUGGCUCUUUUGAUUUCUAGUGGCCACAUUUGUGCCUCAGCUUGUGGCCUCUCCCUUUAUCUUCCAAGUACAUCCCUGCAAUCUCUGGUUUCACCAUCAUGCCUCUUCUCCUCUCUGGCUCCUGCUGCGUCCUUGUUUUAAGGACCCUUGUGAGAACAUCAGGACAAUCAGGAUACAGCAGGGACAUGAGGAUAAUCCAAGAUAAUCCUCCCAUUUCAAGAUCCUUAAUUUAAUCACAUCUGAAAAGUCCCUUUUGCCAUGUAAGGAAUCAUAUUCCUAGGUUACAAAAAUUAGGACAAGGACAUCUUUGAGGGCCAUUAUACAGCCUACCACAGGAGGAAAAAACAAACUGUUUACUUGUGUCAACCAAUAUUUUAGGAUUGCCUAUGGCUCCCAACUCAGAGUUGAAGGCGACCAGAGCUGAUACCACUGCCCACUGUGUCCCAGGCACUGGCACUGUGCUCAGUGCUGGAGAUGUUCCAACCAGGCUGAGGACCUCUAGCACAGAGUCUGCCAUCUGUGUUUGCAGCUACGUAUUUGCUUUUGACUGCCUUCUGUGAACUCCACAGGGCAGGAAAUGGGUAACUUACUCUUUUCUGUGGUCUCACACCAACCUAGGGCCUGACAAUUGCAGUGCUCAAAUAAUGUUGGUUAAGCAAUGAACGCAAAAGCUCAGCAAUGAACACAAAAACUCAGCAAUGAAUGCAUGACUCAGCUACCAACUCCUAAAGACAGAAGCCUGAGUUAAUUCUAAGCAUCACUGAAUAGAAGUGUGGAAGCUAUUGAUUAAACACUCUGUCCCAGCAAUCCCCAAAAAGAAUUCCAUGGAACAGAUGCUGGAUAAAGCAAAGGUGGAAGGUUCCCUGAAACAAAUAUGUUUCGAAAAUCCACACAUGACUACCUCUUAAAGUUUCAACUCUGAGAUGUUCCAUAAUGAAGAAAUCUGCUUAACUUCAACUCACCAUUUCCC